GAUGAACGCUGGCGGCGUGCUUAACACAUGCGAGUCGAACGGAAAGGCCACAGCUUGCUGUGGUACUCGAGUGGCGAACGGGUGAGUAACACGUGGGUGAUCUGCCCUGUACUUCGGGAUAAGCUUGGGAAACUGGGUCUAAUACCGGAUAGGAAUCACAUGUGGGUGUGUGGUUGGAAAGCUUUUGCGGUAUGGGAUGAGCUCGCGGCCUAUCAGCUUGUUGGUGGGGUAAUGGCCUACCAAGGCGUCGACGGGUAGCCGGCCUGAGAGGGUGUACGGCCACAUUGGGACUGAGAUACGGCCCAGACUCCUACGGGAGGCAGCAGUGGGGAAUAUUGCACAAUGGGCGCAAGCCUGAUGCAGCGACGCCGCGUGGGGGAUGACGGCCUUCGGGUUGUAAACUCCUUUCGUCAGGGACGAAGCGAAAGUGACGGUACCUGGAUAAGAAGCACCGGCUAACUACGUG
rnacentral:rRNA from 1 species